UACGAAGGUCCCAAGCGUUAUCCGGAUUUAUUGGGUUUAAAGGGUGCGUAGGCGGGCUAUUAAGUCAGUGGUGAAAGCCCCAGCUUAACUUGGGAACUGCCAUUGAUACUGAUGGUCUUGAGUACAUUUGAGGUGGGCGGAAUGUGUCAUGUAGCGGUGAAAUGCUUAGAUAUGACACAGAACACCGAUUGCGAAAGGCAGC
rnacentral:rRNA from 1 species